rnacentral:lncRNA from 1 species
CUGCCGUCUCGUUCCUCGUAUCAUCCUGGUGAACAUUAAGGUUUUUAGCCGUUCUUAUCCUCUUGGAUGGGUUGGCUAAUUCCUCCUCCAUCUCUUCAUGGGUCUCUGGAGGUGUUAAAUUAAACCACAGAUAAUGCGGGAGAUCCAUCAUGGGCAAAAACCUCACAUUCAUACCAGACCCCUGCUGACAUGGUAGAAGCUAUUACAGGCACAAGUAAGGCCCUUUUGCUUGCAGACCAGACCUAUUCGGAUGAGUCCUCUUUGGAGGUAGAAGGCACCUCAAAGACAAACAUCACCUGCUCAUACUCAUGCCAGGCCAAAACUGAUGCACUUUUCCAACUUAAUGAGUUGGCUUCAGACUCAGAGGUGGAAAGCAUUAUGGAGACAAACACAGCCCUUUUGGUAACAGACCAGACCUGUUCAGAUACAGAUGAGUCCUUUUUGGAUAUAAAUGAGUUGUCUUCAGAUUCAGAGGGUGAGGCUGUCUCAGAUUCAUUUGAUUCUUCUGAAGAUACAGAUGCAGCCGAUAGCGAAAGUGAGGUUCAAAUGCCAACAGACAACAGAUGAUCCACAUCACAAAACUGGCACAGACACAGGGAUGGACACAGUACUCAAAUCAACAGGCUCCAUCACAAAGGCAGAGGCUCUGCUACUGAUAAUGAUUCAUGCUGCUGUACAUAACAUAACUGGGCUGUCUACUAGAUGACUUGCUGAGACUGAUUAAUUUCCGUUUUGGUAAUGAUGUAGUCCCAGGGUCCAAACAUUUGUUUAACAAGGUAUUCAAGAACAACUCAGAGAUAGUUGAGUUUCAUCUUUACUGUCGAGCCUGCAAAUGUCACAUUGGAACACAAAAACUAGUUACUGACCAGAACAUCACACAAUGUCCAUCCGGUAAUGAAACAGUUGAGAUCACUUCUUUAAACAAUGGUAGCUUCUUUAUCAAUGUGCCAGUUGCACCACAGAUGGAGUUAUGUAUGAAAAGUUGUCACAACCUGGUGGGAUUCUUUCAAAUCCUGAUAAUUUUUCAUACACUUUUAAUUCUGAUGGGUCCCCUGUUUACAAAUCUUCAAAAUUCUCUAUUGGCCUAUACAGCUACACUUGAAUGAACUGCCCCCUAAAAUGAGAUUUAAGCAUGUAAUCCUUGCUGGCCUCUGGUUUGGAACUCAUGAGCCAUCUAUGCAAGUCUACCUGAAGCCAUUUACAGAACAAGCAAAGUCACUCAGUUCUAAAGGUGUCUUGUGGAGAAAAAAUGGUGUUCAAGUAAAUAGCAAGAAAAAAUGGUGUUCAAGUAAAUAGCAAGAAAAAAUGGUGUUCAAGUAAAUAGCAAAAUUGUUGGCAUCUGCUGCUGUGUAG